ACACAACAAGUUGGAAAUCGCAAAUUCAACAAUGAUUUGUUUCGAGGGAAUCAGUGGCUAACUGCAAGCGUUGCAAAGAAACCACAAACGUUAGCCUGCUAAUCAAUUGAGUGGCUGUGUUUUUUAUUCUUCAAGAGUUCCCACCAUAAAUCCAGAGUGUCAUACUUCGAUGACAAAAUUUGCCCACAAAGGACCGCUGCGCCACCUUCACAAGGCCCACCCCAGUAAGAGAUACUUUGCUUUGGCAGAGAAGGGAGACCAGCCCAACAUCGUCAUCUAUGAAUAUCCCUCACUACAACCCUACCGCAUUCUCAGAGGUAUGGGAACUACAAUACACACACAAACUAUUCGAUUUUUAACUAUUUAUAAAGCAUAUGAUCAAUGAUCAAGACAUUUGGUCUGUGGACUUUAACUGUGAGGGCACCCUGCUGGCCAGUGUGGGUAGUGCUCCGGACUACUUGCUGACACUGUGGGAGUGGAGGCAUGAACAGGUGAUGCUGCGUUGCAAGGCCUUCGUUCUCACAGGACGUCUAAGGGUCACCUUCUCACCUGACAACGCCGGGCAACUCACCACCUCCGGAUCAGGACACAUGAAGCUUUGGAAAAUGGCCAGCACUUUUACUGGUCUCAAACUGAAAGGCCUUCUGGAAAGGUUUAAGUAGACUACCCUGACAGAUAUCGUGGGGAAGGUCUGUCCACUGCUCUUAUCAUUCAAUUCCUACUAUUCCAUUGAAAAUGACCCAAAGCAAUAUGCUCUUUUCCUGUUGUUCUAUGUUAUCCCGAUCACAUCCCUUCUGUCUGUGUGUUAUUGGGUUCUGAGAAUAUGAAAUAUACUUAUUCAUGUCCCUGAGGGAAAGAGGGUAAUGCAUAUAACAGUUACAUUAUGUCAGAUAAAGUUAUUAUUAGCCAUCAGGGAUCCGAGGAGAAGAGAGACAGUCUGGUACCAAUCACCAUGGCGGCCGUGAGUUGGGGAGGAGUGAGCACUUUGGGGUAGAGGUCAGGUCAGAUGAAGUGAGGAAGAACAGAUAUCACUA